UUACGGCCACAUCACGUUGAAACACCAGUUCCCGUACGAUCACUGAUGUUAAGCAAUGUUGAGCAUGGCCAUUAUCUAAAUGGGUGACCGCUUGGGAAUACCAAGUGCUGUAAG